rnacentral:rRNA from 1 species
GUGGGGAAUAUUGCGCAAUGGGGGAAACCCUGACGCAGCGACACCAUGUGAAGGAUGAAGGCUCUAGGGUUGUAAACUUCUGUCUAGAGGGAAGAAUUUUGACGGUACCUCUAAAGAAAGCACCGGCUAACUCCGUGCCAGCAGCCGCGGUAAUACGGAGGGUGCAAGCGUUAUUCGGAAUUACUAGGUGUAAAGGGCGUGUAGGCGGUUUAGUAAGUUAGAUGUGAAAUCUCAUGGCUCAACUGUGAGUCUGCAUCUAAAACUGUUAGACUUGAGUAUGGAAAGGGAAAACGGAAUUUCUAGUGUAGCGGUGGAAUGUGUAGAUACUAGAAGGAACAUCUAUGGCGAAAGCGGUUUUCUUGUCCAAUACUGACGCUAAGGCGCGAAAGCUAGGGGAGCAAACAGGAUUAGAAACCCGAGUAGUCC